UGCAUUUAUCACCAUAUUGUGAUAAAUGCUUUUAAUACCAGUGCAAGAGCGAUAACUCGUGCGUUCUUGGUAGUGGUUAAACAUUAUUGAGACCAUGAGUUUUAAAUAGAGGACGCAAUAUAAUCAAGCACCUUAUGACCCCGAUUUUCAUAGUCUACCGAAAAAGCUAGAAGGGCAGGCAUGUUGCAAAAUUUCAUCUCUAGUCUGCACACUUUGGAAGGAAAAUGUUUUGACCCACCGUUCAGCAAAAUUAUUUCCAUUUUUGUGCAUUAUUCUGUUCCAAGGAUACGGUUUAUAGACACUGUAAGUAAUUUAUGCGAACAAUAACAUGAUGCCCCUAAUUAUAAAGGCUUGAAUUUAUGAUCGUUGCACUUUGUGGUAUCUGUGACUGUACAUCACGCGCUGAUGCUGUGGAUAGAAUGACAUUGAAAGUCCUUAUUCUUGGGCAUUCAUUUAUACGCAGAUUUGAGAACUUUGUUUGUAUCAACUAGUUCUGACCAUCGGGUGACGCCGAAUUUAAAUCUUAAUUCAGAGGAGCUACAGAUUUUCUAUUUAGGUUAUGGGGGAGCGUCACUGGCUCAAAUUCGUGCGCAAGGCACUCGUUACGUAAGAUACUUGCAUCCAGAUGUUGUUUUGUUACAAGCUGUAUCAAACGAUUUGUGUCGGAGAAACACAUCAGUGGAAGACAUUUUUCAUGAACUUGUGGACUUUGUAAUUUAACUCCGUGAUACGGAAGAUGUGUAAAAAAGUAGUGGUGCUUCAGACAUUGCAUAGAAUUCCCCCGACAAGACGUAUCAGGUUUCAUGUGGACACAGAGUGCAAGAGAGUUGUUGAAUUAAAUAGACGCAUGUCCUAUUACUUGCAGAAGGUAGAGGGAGCAGCAUUCUUUCGCCUAUCUGGUUUAUCAUAGGAUGGUAUUUCUGGUGGAUGGGGUCCAUUUGAAUAAUCAGGGAAAUAAGGAAUAUUAUAAUAAUUUGAGAGCUGUUAUUGUUUCCUUGAUAAAGUCUAUCAAUAAUGGAAAAUUGGGAGACACUAUUUGUAAACAUAUGCUAGAUAUUUUGCACUAGGUUUGUGUUGAACGUGGAAUAUCUAAUGACAAGACAACUCUCAUCAGGUUUGACUCUAAGGGAUAGAAUGGAGACAGUUAUAUCUAUGCUUAUGUUUUACCUCAAGAUACAUUGACUGAGCUAUGUAACAAUUCCAGGAUAGGUGUCUAGAAUGCUAAACACAAAUUAAGUAAAAAUAACUAAAAAUAAAGUAGAUGAAGUUAUGUAGCUGAUUUUCGUAAUCGAAUAUCCACCUCCCAGCCAAGAGGGAUAACUCUUUAAAAAAAAAAAAAAAAAAAAAAAAAAAAAAGAUUAUUUAAUCAAAAAGACUCAAAUUAAGCUUGAAAUUCAAUCUUUUCGUGCAACAAUUUUUAUUCACGCAACUCAAGUUCUUCGUAGUCUAGAAACUGGGAAAAGUUGACAUUUGUGUCCCAUAAAAGUAUUUAAAAAUCUUUAGAUAAAUCGAAUUCCUUCAAGCUUGCUUUGUUAACCAUGAUAUGAAAUUUGAAGUGAUAUUUGAUGUCUUCCAACGAUAGCACAUGCUUUACACUACAGGUAUGUGUUAUAUAAUGAUUGGAAAAAAAUAUAAGAAAAAUGCCAUUAUGAUAUGAGUAUUAAUAACAUGCAAUUUUUUACAAAUUCCGGGAUACCUAUAAAUGUUUAUUCAGGUACCUUUGGCUAACAACAGGAUAUUAUUACAUACUGACAAGCAAUCGGUCGUGCAAAUAGUCAAUUCUGCUAAAGUCAGACUAUUGGUUAGAAACUUGUAAUUAAUAUCACUUAUUUCACUAUUAUAUUUAAGCAGAGUUCAUUACUUAGUUAUUAUAUCAAAUUAAAUUGCAGAUUCUAUUUUACAUUGACAGUGGCUUCAUUUUUGGGCUUUGGGUCCUCGUGCAUCUCAGGUCAAUAUUGGAAACGAUAAGUUUCAAUAAUUGAUUCACACCUUUUCAACAAUGUCACAUUGGCAUCAUUAAGCUAGAUUGAUGAACAAAUCAUUAACAAUAGAGUCUGAACUUGGUACACCUAGCCAUGGCCAAUUUUUGGUACAUUUCAAUGGUAAUCCCCUAACGACUAACGUGUUAUUAGUUAUCAAACCCUAAUUGCAAUACUAUUCAUUUCUGUAACAUAAACAAAUACUGUUUUAGAUCACACUCUUUUCAGCAGCAGUAUUAUAGGGCAUUCCUGAACAAAUUAUUAAACAAUUGGGCGGGUGGAAUCCAUAACUAUACAUGCCUCAAACAUUGGUGUGAGAUUUGUAUAAUUAAAAUAUUAUAGCUCAAUUUCAAUUUUGGCUUAAACGUAUUAUACAUCUAUCCAUAUAAAAAUUUUAGUUUUUGUAGAUUGUGUGUAGUCUGGGAUAUGGCAUUCAUAGGAUACUGAGCUACCCAAAGUGACAUCAUUGGUCCUUGAGGAAAAAGCCCUCAAUUUGAUUUUUUAAAAAAAUGGGUUUGGAGUCAGGGAAAUUAGAUUGAAGGAAUUUGACUCUUUGAUUUAGAAUAAAUUAAAAUGCACUUGGGUGGUACAUUAAGGUUUCAAGGACCGGGGCACCUCGCCUGGAUCAUUAUUGUUUCAUAGUAUGGAAUGUUCCUGCUUAUGCUGCAAGUUAUUAGUCCGAAGUAUGUCAAUUAUUUGGUCCGAUAUAAGUUUAAUUCAAGAUGAGUCUUGAUUUAUUAAAUGGAACAGCUAACAAGUGUCUAUUAUACAUGAACACUUAUAAAAUUUGAAAUUUAAAGGUCAGGUGGGUGAAAUGGAAUGAAUUAAAAAUUAACAUGUAUACACCAAACUCGUUAGUGGCGGGUGAACUUGUAUAGACAAGUUCAUUUGGCGGAAUUCGGGGAUUACCACGAAUGAGGAAUUCUCUCAUGUCUGGCUCAAAACUCUGGGUAAUCUAUCCUCAGUACUGGGGAGGAUUAAUUUGGGGUUACCUCAGCGGUACCUGAGGGACCAGCUUGAUCUUUGUGGGUACCAAAGGCAAGUUUUGGGGCCUACCCCUGGGGGUAUUAUCCCCAUGUUGUUGUUGUAUUCCAGGGGAGGCAGGUAUAGAGUUAGGGCCCGAGUCAGAACUUGAAUUCAUUCAUUUGAUGUGGCACUCACUCUUGUUGGUACCAAGAGGUCUGUUCCCACCACAGUCACCUGUGGGGGCGCUAUCGCGCCAAGGAUCUAGGGAGGUCAUCCCGGUAGGCAGGUAGUGAUUCCCUGGGUUCCGCCGGGGUAUUUACAUCUAUGUAUAAAUAGAUUGUGACAAAUAGUCGCCACAAAAUGUAAUCAUUGUUUCACAAUAAAUGUGUAAAAUUAAUAUUUGUUACUAUUCAUUGCAUCUGGGAUUAAUUGCAUUUAUCACCAUAUUGUGAUAAAUGCUUUUAAUACCAGUGCAAGAGCGAUAACUCGUGCGUUCUUGGUAGUGGUUAAACAUUAUUGAGACCAUGAGUUUUAAAUAGAGGACGCAAUAUAAUCAAGCACCUUAUGACCCCGAUUUUCAUAGUCUACCGAAAAAGCUAGAAGGGCAGGCAUGUUGCAAAAUUUCACCCACCCACCCUUCCCUAAAAUAUGUGUACAGAUUUUUGCUGCUUUCUCUUCUGUAAUUUCAGUGACAGAAGCCUAUUCUUACAUGGAAAGAGAUGUGUAUGUGGAACAACCUAGCGGUUGUAUCAUUAGCAAAGAAAGGAUGUGGUCAUUAUGUAUAUGGUGGGACCAUUUGGUGUCAAUUGGUCAUUUUCGGUUGAAAUCAAUGUAAAUGAUUCAACCCUGAGUUUUAUUGGACAUUUCUAUGGUGUGAUACAUAAUCAGUACUUCAGUGAAAUUGGUGAUCAUUGAUGAUUAUGUGUUUACGUACAGUGUUACUGUACAGUGUUACUUUUAAUAAGUAUUGUAAGCAAGUAUAGCUUGUAAAUAUAUAUUGAGAAUUUUCUUGCUUUGGGAUUAUGGUAAAGUUUCUUAAGUCACAAUCUGGGAUGGGGGCGGCGGAAUUCGGGGAUUACCACGAAUGAGGAAUUCUCUCAUGUCUGGCUCAAAACUCUGGGUAAUCUAUCCUCAGUACUGGGGAGGAUUAAUUUCGGGUUACCUCAGCGGUACCUGAGGGACCAGCUUGAUCUUUGUGGGUACCAAAGGCAAGUUUUGGGGCCUACCCCUGGGGGUAUUAUCCCCAUGUUGUUGUUGUAUUCCAGGGGAGGCAGGUAUAGAGUUAGGGCCCGAGUCAGAACUUGAAUUCAUUCAUUUGAUGUGGCACUCACUCUUGUUGGUACCAAGAGGUCUGUUCCCACCACAGUCACCUGUGGGGGCGCUAUCGCGCCAAGGAUCUAGGGAGGUCAUCCCGGUAGGCAGGUAGUGAUUCCCUGGGUUCCGCCGGGGUAUUUACAUCUAUGUAUAAAUAGAUUGUGACAAAUAGUCGCCACAAAAUGUAAUCAUUGUUUCACAAUAAAUGUGUAAAAUUAA